rnacentral:rRNA from 1 species
CGGGACGGGGUGGAGUAAUGUCUGGGAAACGUGCCUGAUGGAGGGGGAUAACUACUGGAACGGUAGCUAAUACCGCAUAACGUCGCAAGACCAAUGAGGGGGACCUUCGGGCCUCUUGCCAUCGGAUGUGCCCAGAUGGGAUUAGCUAGUAGGUGGGGUAACGGCUCACCUAGGCGACGAUCCCUAGCUGGUCUGAGAGGAUGACCAGCCACACUGGAACUGAGACACGGUCCAG